rnacentral:lncRNA from 1 species
AGGGGAGAUACUGGAGUACACUGCAGUGCUGAAGAACAUUGCAGGUACAGUGUUUGAAGCUUCUUGGUGCAAGAUUCAGUGCUGCUACAAAAACUUUGUGAGCAAGGCACAAGCCACCCUGCCCAGAGACCAAGAACUGGGUGCUGACAGCCGUUCCUGGGAGGCUUUUGGAGGUGUGAUGCCUGGGUCCAGAGUUUUCUUCUGCAGAUUCUUCUCUCCCUGCAAGGAAGUGGAGAGAGACUGGCCUUGGCGCUGA